CCUACGGGAGGCAGCAGUAGGGAAUAUUGGGCAAUGGACGCAAGUCUGACCCAGCCAUGCCGCGUGCAGGAAGAAGGCGUUAUGCGUUGUAAACUGCUUUUAUACAGGAAGAAACGACUCUUGCGAGAGGCAUUGACGGUACUGUAUGAAUAAGCACCGGCUAACUCCGUGCCAGCAGCCGCGGUAAUACGGAGGGUGCAAGCGUUGUCCGGAUUUAUUGGGUUUAAAGGGUGCGCAGGUGGUUUAUUAAGUCAGUGGUGAAAGACGGUCGCUCAACGAUUGCAGUGCCAUUGAAACUGGUAGACUUGAGUAAGGUAGAGGUGGGCGGAAUUGAUAGUGUAGCGGUGAAAUGCAUAGAUAUUAUCAAGAACUCCAAUUGCGAAGGCAGCUCACUUGGCUUUUACUGACACUCAUGCACGAAAGUGUGGGUAUCAAACAGGAUUAGAUACCCUGGUAGUCCACACUGUAAACGAUGAUAACUAGGUGUCGGCCGAAUCUGGUCGGUGCCACAGCGAAAGCGUUAAGUUAUCCACCUGGGGAGUACGCCGGCAACGGUGAAACUUAAAUGAAUUGACGGCUGGAGAGNGCGAGGACGACGACGAGGGAGGAGG
rnacentral:rRNA from 1 species